rnacentral:rRNA from 1 species
UACGUAGGUGGCAAGCGUUGUCCGGAUUUACUGGGCGUAAAGGAUGCGUAGGCGGACAUUUAAGUCAGAUGUGAAAUACCCGAGCUUAACUUGGGUGCUGCAUUUGAAACUGGGUGUCUAGAGUGCAGGAGAGGUAAGUGGAAUUCCUAGUGUAGCGGUGAAAUGCGUAGAGAUUAGGAAGAACACCAGUGACGAAGGCGACUCUCUGGUCUGUAACUGACGCUGAGGCGCGAAAGCGUGGGGAGCAAACAGG